GACGAACGCUGGCGGCGUGCUUAACACAUGCAAGUCGAACGGAGUGGCGAACGGGUGAGUCACACGUGGGUGAACUGCCCUGCACUUCGGGAUAAGCAUGGGAAACAGGGUCUAAUACCGGAUAGUGUGGGAUGGGCCCGCGGCAGAUCAGCUUGUUGGGGGGGUAAUGGCCUACCAAGGCGGCGACGGGUAGCCGGACUGGGAGGGUGGACGGCCACAUUGGGACUGAGACACGGGCCAGACUCGUACGGGGGGCAGCCGUUGGGAAUAUUGCACAAUGGGCGGAAGCCUGAUGCAGCGACGCCGCGUGGGGGAUGACGGCCUGCGGGUUGUAAACUCCUUUCACCAUAGACGCGGUAGAUGGAGAAGAAGCACCGGCUAACUACGUGCCAGCAGCCGCGGUAAUUC
rnacentral:rRNA from 1 species